GGCUUACCAUGCAGUCGAGGGGUAACAGAUCUUCGGAUGCUGACGACCGGCGAACGGGUGAGUAACACGUAUGCAACUUACCCAUAACUCGGGAAUAGCCCAAAGAAAUUUGGAUUAAUACCCAAUAAUACAGGCGUACCGCAUGGUAUUCUUCGUUAAAGAAUAAUCGGUUAUGGAUAGGCAUGCGUUCUAUUAGGUAGUUGGUGAGGUAACGGCUCACCAAGCCGACGAUGGAUAGGGGAACUGAGAGGUUGUCCCCCCACACUGGUACUGAGACACGGACCAGACUCCUACGGGAGGCAGCAGUGAGGAAUAUUGGUCAAUGGACGAAAGUCUGAACCAGCCAAAUCGCGUGAAGGAAGAAGGUAUUAUGUAUCGUAAACUUCUUUUGUAAGAGAGUAAAGUGCACUACGUGUAGUGUAUUGCAAGUACCUUACGAAUAAGCAUCGGCUAAUUCCGUGCCAGCAGCCGCGGUAAUACGGAAGAUGCAAGUGUUAUCCGGAUUUAUUGGGUUUAAAGGGUGCGUAGGUGGUCUAAUAAGUCAGUGGUGAAAUCUCUUUGCUUAACAAGGAAAUUGCCAUUGAAACUGUUAGACUUGAGAAUGGACGAGGUAGGCGGAAUUCGUAGUGUAGCGGUGAAAUGCAUAGAUAUUACGAAGAACUCCAAUAGUGUAGACUGCUUACCAGACCAUAUCUGACACUAAGGCACGAAAGUGUGGGUAUCAAACAGGAUUAGAUACCCUGGUAGUCCACACAGUAAACGAUGAAUACUAACUGUUUGCGAUAUACAGCAAGUGGUCGAGCGAAAGCGUUAAGUAUUCCACCUGGGAAGUAUGCCGGCACGGUGAAACUCAAGGAAUUGACGGGGGCCCGCACAAGCGGAGGAACAUGUGGUUUAAUUCGAUAUACGCGAGGAACCUUACCCGGGCUCGAACGAUAUUUGAAUACAUCCGAAAGAUGUAACUAGCAUAGCAAUACCGAGUGCUGCAUGGUGUCGUCAGCUCGUGCCGUGAAGUGUCGACUUAA
rnacentral:rRNA from 1 species